ACAAUGGAAUUCAUCUCUAGCAUAGUGGAAGAAUGUAUAAUAUAUAUUCUUGAAAUAUAUACAUAAAUAAAUUCCAUAUAGUUUGUUUACAAAUUCGGUGAAGUGGAUGAAAGGUCCUUAAAUGACUCGAAACUUCUCUGUUCUGCAUUGGCUUCUUAUUUACUAUUUACCCUGAAGGAUGUGUCAAACGGGCAGCUUCACUGGGGCCGCACAUCUGAGAGAAUUUAAAGCAAGUGUCCUGAGAAGAGCUCAGUAACGCCAGAAAUUCACGAAAAAUAAAAGGGCAAAAUUUCCCCUGAUUUUGCUUUUUAGUACAAAUACAGAUGGAGAAAUUGAGGCUGAUCGAUCCUUUGACUUUACUGAUUUCAAAUAGGAGGUAACAGAAAAGUUACCGCGGGGAUAACUGGCAGGAGGCAGUCAACUGUUCAUAGUGAGGUUGUCUUUGAUCCUCCGAUGUCAGCUCUUCCAGUCAUUGCCAAGCAGAAUUAGCCACGUGUUGGAUUGUUCACUCACUAAUAGGGAAGGUGAACUGAGGUUAGACUUUCUUGAACCAAUUCAGUU
rnacentral:ncRNA from 1 species